rnacentral:rRNA from 1 species
GACGAACGCUGGCGGCGUGCCUAAUACAUGCAAGUAGAACGCACAGUUUAUACCGUAGCUUGCUACACCAUAGACUGUGAGUUGCGAACGGGUGAGUAACGCGUAGGUACCUUGCUUGUUACCGGGGGAUAACUAUUGGAACCGAUACCUAAUACCGCAUAUUAUUAAUUAUUCCAUGUUAAUUAUUUAAAAGUUCAAUUUGAACAACUACAAGAUGACCUUGCGUUGUAUUAGCUAGUAGGUGAGGUAACGGCUCACCUAGGCGACGAUACAUAGCCGACCUGAGAGGGUGAUCGGCCACACUGGGACUGAGACACGGCCCAGACUCCUACGGGAGGCAGCAGUAGGGAAUCUUCGGCAAUGGACGAAAGUCUGACCGAGCAACGCCGCGUGAGUGAAGAAGGUUUUCGGAUCGUAAAGCUCUGUUGUAAGAGAAGAACGGGUGUGAGAGUGGAAAGUUCACACUGUGACGGUAUCUUACCAGAAAGGGACGGCUAACUACGUG